UUGUAAUCUGCCAAGUAUGGACUGAAACCUCCACAAAGUGUACUACUCAGGGAUUGAGAGAGUACCAAGCUGCAGUGAAAUAACCUCUCAUCCACUCCAGGCCUGUCAAAGCAUAAUGGCUCUCAAUGGCUACAACUAAAUCCAAUAUUAUAAAAGGAACACAGCAAUGGGAGCUGGAAGAUCCAAGUCCUAACUCUACCUCUAACAAAUACAUGAACCUGAAUGAUU